UUUUGAAAGCAGUGUCACCGAAUGAGCAGGUGGCUCAGAGAGCACGAGUUUCUCUGGUUUUGCAGAUAAGGAAGCGGGUUUGGCCCAAAUGGAACCGGCCCAGUCCCCCCGCACUCCCUUGCUUACCCGCCUCGCUCCCGCCCCUCCCCCCCAUCCCCCGUUCUUUGCCCUCGCCUCACUCACUCCAGCCGUUGCACUAUUUUUAUCUGGUGGCUUAGGACUUGAAACAAUGCAUUAAAAACGGCAGAGCUGGGAGAGCUAACCCCACCUUCGCCAGCAAGUGAGGGUGUGUCUUUAGCGAGUUGCUUCAUCUCUUGGGAAGCGGGGAGUGCAACAGGGGGUAACCGCAGGUGCGCCCCGAGGCCGCGGGACUCGCGUGCGUGGAAGGCAGGUCUGCUCACCGCUGUCCUUUGCUGAGCCUUGGUAAAGUGCGAGCCCUACUCAAAGCCCAAGCUUCGUUCCUACGCCACACUGCUGCGAAAGCUGAGUCGGAAAACCUGCACGUUCUCACGCCCCCCCGACCCCCCAGGCCUUGCCUGCCCUCAAUCAAAGGGAAUGAUUGAUACUACUUGCCCUUGGUGGUUCUUUAAGACCACAGUUUCCAUUACCAACAGAGAUGGUUUUCAAAGUCUGGUGGCGGAAUUGAAGCCUUCAAAAGAAGGACUAAUCCGAAGCCCGACAUGUAAAACAGUGGAGGCUGGACUGCAACGAGAGGCCUGGCAAGUGUGAAGCCCUUGGGCUCCGCAGGGCACAGUUGGAAAAUCUCUGGCCUGUAGGAUAAAGUGGUCACUCUUUCUUGGGCGGCUGUAAUUUUCUGCCUCUGCUCACCCUUUGAGGACUUUCCCCCAGCCAAGGCCUUACCCUCAGCCCACUGACCUUGUUAACACACAUCCUCCCAGCGUGACCUCAUCCAAAUGGCCACCUAACACAUCAACAAGGUUGGUUCCGCUGGCAAGGAAGAAGGGGAGGAGGGCAGAGUGUACCACGGCCAGGAAUAAUCUGGCCCCUGCUUUCCUCUCCAUCUCCAGCUCCUGCUCUUUCCCCGCAUGUAACCUUCUCUCUCGGGUAACUCCAAGUAUCUCCCAUUUUUAGACAUUUUAAGCUCUGCUUGAUAUGUAGUAUAUUAAAUUAACUAUUGCCGAGAAGCAAAUCCCCCAGAACUUUUUCAUGGCUUACAAAACCAGUAAUCACUUAUAUGACUCUCGGUUCUGGCUUAGGUUCCCUCAUAAGACCACAGUUAAGAUGUUGGCCAGGCCUGCAGUCACCACUGCGGCUGGAGGAUUCCCUGCUGAGAUGACUUAGUCACCUGACUGGAGGGGUCCGUGAGCCCCACCGGCUUCCUCGUCCUUCAUUCUCCUCUCAACCCACUGCAGCCUGGCUGCCAUGUGACACACUCUAUCACAAAGGUCUCUAGGGUUCUCCUGCCCACACCACCCUGGAGAAAAUCUACAGUUGAAUUCCACAGGACGGUCAUCUUGCUGGCAUCUCUGGGACUGACCAUUAGCACGUGGACCAGAAUGUAGUCUUUCUGAAGCCACCGGUCAUCCAGCAAUCAAGAAGCCUCAAAGAGCUAACGUGCUGCUCAAGCGAAGGAUUCAGGAUGCUGAGGAAGGCUUGAAGGGAAACGGUUGCAGGAUAUAAGGGCAGAGAGGGAAGAAUGUGAUGCUGGCGUGGUCAGGCCGAGGAAAAUACCAGCUGUGUGUGGACUGAGGUUCAAGCUCUAUGUCACAGAAACCACUUAAAAUUUUAUUCUUUAAUUAGCAACCUUGGAGAGGAAAGGACAUCAGGAAUUAAAGGCAGAGGCAGAGAACCGAAACCAGCUGGGUUUUCCUUGUUAGGCUGGAGCAGAGUUUAAACCAGGGCAGAUCCCCUCCAGCUCUGGCCUCUGGCUGCAGCCUCCUCUCUACAUCCUGGUCCCAGGCCUGUCAUUGGAUCCUCUGGGCUCUGAUCCAAGUCUUUAACCCACAUGCAACUGGAUGGCAAGAAGUAGUUUGCUCGGAAGUCUGAUUGAGCACAUCUUCCUCACCUCCUAAGAGCUUGGGUGAAGUUUCUCUGCCUAAGGUAAAUGCAGCUUGUGAAAUGUUUCAGGUGGGAUUAGAAUGACAGAACUGCUGUUGUUUAUUAAUUUCCCUGAGUUGGAGCCAUGUUCCCUACCACCUGACAUGCCAUCACCUG